rnacentral:lncRNA from 1 species
UUUCUAAUUUUAUUGCAUGAUUAUGUAUAAUUUCUGAAAAUACUUUGGUUCUUAAAUGAAACUUUAGCAAUACUAAACUGUGAUUUUAACUGGAAUUUAUAUUUUUUUCUUUUCUGAAUAGUCUUUAAUGCAGUGUGCAGGAGAAAGUAUCUCUCUGUUUAAAAAUAAGACAAAUGAGGAACCUAGAAUUGGUUCAUUGAGAAUUAUGAUGUGUCUGUCUACAAGUUGCUUGUGUAACUGUAGCAAGCAGAAUCCAAAUAAGAUUACAUCUGGCUUUUUCCUACGAUUGUUAACAUCAAAGCUGAUGAAUGACAUUGCAGAUAUUUGUAAAAGUUUAGCAUCCUUUAUCAAAAAGCCAUUUGACUAUGGGGAAGUAAAAUCAGUGGAAGAUGAUACUAUUGAAAAUCGAAAUGAUGUGAAUUAUUCAUCAUCUACAAAUCUAUUCCAUGAUUACCCUUCUAGUAGUAGUGCAAAUGAUGCAGAUGAUCCUGCAGAGAACCAAAGUACCAUUGGUGCUAUGAAUCCUUUAGCAGAAGAGUAUCUGUCAAAGCAAGAUCUACUUCUUUUAGACAUGCUCAAGUUCUUGUGUAUGUGUGUGACUGCAUCUCAGACUAAGUCUGUGUCAUUUAGAGCUGCUGAUAUUCGGAGAAGAUUGUUAAUGCUCAUUGAUUCCAGCACACUAGAUCUUACUAAAUCCCUCCACUUACACAUGUACUUAGUGCUUUUAAAGGAGCUACCUGGAGAACAGUAUCCUUUGCCAAUGGAAGAUGUUGUUGAACUUCUGAAACCACUGUCGUAA